rnacentral:rRNA from 1 species
ACUCCUACGGGAGGCAGCAGUGGGGAAUAUUGCACAAUGGGCGAAAGCCUGAUGCAGCGACGCCGCGUGAGGGAUGACGGCCUUCGGGUUGUAAACCUCUUUCAGUAGGGAAGAAGCGAAAGUGACGGUACCUGCAGAAGAAGCGCCGGCUAACUACGUGCCAGCAGCCGCGGUAAUACGUAGGGCGCAAGCGUUAUCCGGAAUUAUUGGGCGUAAAGAGCUCGUAGGCGGUUUGUCGCGUCUGCCGUGAAAGUCCGGGGCUCAACUCCGGAUCUGCGGUGGGUACGGGCAGACUAGAGUGAUGUAGGGGAGACUGGGAUUCCUGGUGUAGCGGUGAAAUGCGCAGAUAUCAGGAGGAACACCGAUGGCGAAGGCAGGUCUCUGGGCAUUAACUGACGCUGAGGAGCGAAAGCAUGGGGAGCGAACAGGAUUAGAUACCCUUGGUAGUCCAUGCCGUAAACGUUGGGCACUAGGUGUGGGGGGACAUUCCACGUUUUCCGUACCGUAGCUAACGCAUUAAGUGCCCCGCCUGGGGAGUACGGCCGCAAGGCUAAAACUCAAAGGAAUUGACGGGGGCCCGCACAAGCGGCGGAGCAUGCGGAUUAAUUCGAUGCAACGCGAAGAACCUUACCAAGGCUUGACAUGAACCGGUAAUACCUGGAAACAGGUGCCCCGCUUGCGGUCGGUUUACAGGUGGUGCAUGGUUGUCGUCAGCCCGUGUCGUGAGAUGUGGGUUAAGUCCCGCAACGAGCGCAACCCUCGUUCUAUGUUGCCAGCACGUGAUGGUGGGGACUCAUAGGAGACUGCCGGGGUCAACUCGGAGGAAGGUGGGGACGACGUCAAAUCAUCAUGCCCCUUAUGUCUUGGGCUUCACGCAUGCUACAAUGGCCGGUACAAAGGGUUGCGAUACUGUGAGGUGGAGCUAAUCCCAAAAAGCCGGUCUCAGUUCGGAUUGGGGUCUGCAACUCGACCCCAUGAAGUCGGAGUCGCUAGUAAUCGCAGAUCAGCAACGCUGCGGUGAAUACGUUCCCGGGCCUUGUACACACCGCCCGU